GUCAAACUGGUUUGCAAAGGAAUAAUCUCCUUGACAUCACCCAGGAUUAGUCACCAAUAUGGAUUAAUGUCUUUACACCAAAUGUGUUCCAUAUCCCCCCUCCCAUCGCUACAUCUCCAGCAUUUGUCGCUAACUGUGGGCCAGUAGGUAUGGAGCUGUACCAGGGUCCUAUACCAUCUGGUGACUCAUUUAUAAAAGGUCUUGUUAGUUCAUGUGGGGUAUAUUGUUCUUAUCAUGUUGUGUGAAUAUGAUUAUUAUCUGCGUGAGUGUUUUUUUGCAUUUCAGCACUUAUAUAGAUUAUUGAAGCAUCCACACAGUGAGAUGCAUAGGUCUCUAAUAAACAUGAUGAUGACAGUUAGCAAGUUGAUGUUACAUAUUUUGGACUCGG